GUGGAUUAGAUACCCUGGUGGUCCACGCCGUAAACGAUGAAUGCUAGGUGUUAGGGGUUUCGAUACCCUUGGUGCCGAAGUUAACACAUUAAGCAUUCCGCCUGGGGAGUACGGUCGCAAGACUGAAACUCAAAGGAAUUGACGGGGACCCGCACAAGCAGUGGAGUAUGUGGUUUAAUUCGAAGCAACGCGAAGAACCUUACCAGGUCUUGACAUCCCAAUGCAAGCAUUAGAGAUAGUGCCCUUCUUCGGAACAUUGGAGACAGGUGGUGCAUGGUCGUCGCCAGCU
rnacentral:rRNA from 1 species